rnacentral:rRNA from 1 species
GACGAACGCUGGCGGCGUGCUUAACACAUGCAAGUCGAGCGGUAAGGCCCUUUCGGGGGUACACGAGCGGCGAACGGGUGAGUAACACGUGGGUGACCUGCCCUUAGCUCUGGGAUAAGCCUGGGGAAACUGGGUCUAAUACCGGAUAUGACUCCAUGACGCAUGUUGUGGGGUGGAAAGCCUUGUGCGGCUAGGGGAUGGGCCCGCGGGCCUAGUCCAGCUUGUUGGUGGGGUGAUGGCCACCAAGGCGACGACGGGUAGCCGGCCUGAGAGGGCGACCGGCCACACUGGGGACUGAGACACGGCCCAGACUCCUACGGGAGGCAGCAGUGGGGAAUCUUGCGGCAAUGGGCGAAAGCCUGACGCAGCGACGCCGCGUGGGGAUGACGGCCUC